rnacentral:lncRNA from 10 species
AUCCAAUUAUUGCCGAUCCUCCCCUCCAACACUGCUCUCAUCACCUAUAUACUCUUCUCUCUGCCCGUCUCUGCUUCCCCCCCCUUCCCCCCCCCCUUUUCUCCCGGCCGACGGAGCUGAAGGGGCGGGGGUUCCUUCCUUGGAGUGUUUCUAGAGCUCGGAGGCUGCUGGUAGGGGGGCACCACUUUCAGAUAAAAACAUAGACCUGAAUGGCAUCAUCCAGUAUCCAAGGAAACCAUGCUUGCUUGAAGAGUGAGCAGGUGAGCAAAGAGACAAGAUUACAUGUUUAAACCAAGAAAAGAAUCUUGAAAUGUGUCUGUAACCAGCUAAUGAGCUGCAACAGAGCCUGGCCUUCAUUUUCAGCAAAUUAAGUUCAUCCCUCAUAGGAAUUGUGGUCUGGCUGUGGCACCGCUCCUAGGUAUGGGUGGGAUUUGUUUCUUCUAGCAGUUGUAGGUUAGCCACAUGGGUACGUGCUGUCGCACCACACAACAAAAUUUUCUCUAUAAUAACCAGUCUAAGUAGGCUUUUACCCCACAAAAGUAGAUCCCAUUUAAUUUACUUUGUGUUUAUAGCACUCCCUCUCAAACCGCACCAUUGGCACAGACUAAUAUUUAUACAACUUUUUAUUUUAAACUAUUUAUUUGGAGUUGAGACUUCAGUAGCACUCCCUGUCAGAUUCAUUGAACAAGCUUAAAUUCAGGAUACUGAAAAUGUAAAUUGGGAAGAGGGAUGUAUGUUCUUGGGAUUCUUUUCUCCCGUGCAUGGACACCCAAACAACUCUCACUGUAGUAAAGGGAGGUUACACAUGUGUUGAUAACAUUUGUAUUACUGCUGGUAGGAAAUUGAACAUUGAUGGGUGGUUUUAAAAGCCUGCUUUUGCCUAUUGUGUUUCCACAUUUCUUUGCCAAUAUAGUUGGUCAAAUUAGUUAUGCAAAAUGCAUCUAAAAACUUCUAAUCCAAAAGUGUCAAUGUUGUUAAAGAUUUCUUUUCAUACACAAAGAAAUAUUACAUUGCUCCAUUAUUUUAAUGGAAGUCGUUAGUCAAAUACGCUUUUGCCACAGAAAGAAAAGGGAAAAAAUUCUUAAUUUUGUAUCUGACCUCUGCUUUGGGGCCUUACUUUAAGUUACAUUUUUCUUAAAUAAAGCUUUUCUGUUUUUUAAAGUGAA